rnacentral:lncRNA from 1 species
AGACACAAUAAUGGACGAAAUUUGGGAAAAAAAUCAUGCCCUAAUCAUCCAAUAAAUUGUUCUCAAUCCGUAGGUAAGCUUUCAAUCAACAACCCAAACCUUCAAAUCCUCCUUUCAAACCACACAAGAUAGCACAUAUUUCUAUAAUUUUUUCUGCGAAAAUCGAAGAGUGGGGACCAAGAUCUACUAAAAUUUAUUCGACAUGUCGGAUGUGGAGGAACAAGAUGAAGGUUAUGACUUUUUUUUUUUUUUUUACAUUUUUUGUCUAUAUUGUUCGCAUAAAGUAACUUUGGACAGAUUUUGGAGCUACAUUAAUUGGGUCUUUGUGUUGAAAUGGCAUAAAGUCUCCAUUAAUUUGAUUGUCUGUUCACGUGAGUUGGACAUUAGUAGGGUCUUCUUCUUCUUUUUUUUUCUUUGAAACGUUUGUGCAGUAAAUUUCAUAAUUCAAUAGGUUCUUACAAAUUUCUAUUUUUCACUAUAUUGUCAACUAAGCAAAUUUAUAAUCUCCUAUUGUCUAGGUUAUUUGAACAGUGAUUUGGAUAAAGAAGACAUCACCUUCAAUGAUUCCGAUUAUAGCCUUGGUGAAGAAAACGAUAUUCUCUUUGAGGAAAAUGUUACCCAGAAUAUUGAACUCGAUAUGAGGAAUGAGAUAGUGUCAUUGGAAGCAGCUGAUGAAUCUGACAAUUCUGAAUAUGUACUCUCAAAUGAACUUCGAAACAGUCAUUCUGAUAGUGGCGAAGAAGUUGUUACAUACCUAGAAUGCUUGAGGUAGGAUUGAAGUUUAGGUCCAAAAAGGAGGUGAAAGCUAUGGUUAAAAACUUCAGCAUUCAUAAUAAGUUUGAUGUGGUCUUCCUGUAUAAUGAUAGAUACAGAUUAGAAGGUCGUUACAAAGGAAAAAAUUGUCCACGACGUAUUUGGGCUUCACCGUUGGAGGAAGAUUCAUCGUAGCAAAUUAAAUCGUUCGAACAGGAUCAUACCUAUAGUAAAGCAUUGAAGAAUAUAAGUAUAUCACUAGUUGGUUAGCCCGUAUAUACAUUGAGACCUUUACUAUUGUGCUAAAGUGAGAUGUGAAAUUGUUUAAGCAAUUGUUUUGAAAGAGUAUGGUGUAGAGACUAGUAACACAAAGGCAUGGAGGUAUAGGAGAUAUGCUAAGGAGUUGCUUCGAGGAUUGCUAGUUGGGUAAUUUGGUUUGUUAGGUUUGUAUGCAGCUGAGGUUAUGAGAACAAACCCAAGAUCAACUAUUAUACUAUCUUUAGACGAGCUUGUGUUUAAGGCGAUUUAUGUUUGCUUCGAUGCUUACAAAAAGGGUUUUUUGGGUGGUUGUAGGCUCGUUAUUUGCAUAGAUGGGUGCUUUUUGAAAGACAAUUUUAGUGGUUAGUUACUUGCUGUGAUGGGAAUUGAUAUAAAUAAUUGUAUAUUUUUAAUUGCACAUGCUAUCGUUGAAACUGAAAGUAAUGCUAGCUAGUUCUGGUUUUUGAAACUGUUGGAGGAAGAUUUGAUGCUCAAAAAUGCAUAUGGAGCCAGAAUUAUGUUUGAUAGACAUAAAAGGUUGGAGAAUAUGGUGUCCGAGUUUUUUCUAGUGGUUGAGCAUCGAUUUUGUUUAAGGCAUAUGUACUCCAACUUUUUUCGCAAAGAUUUUAAAGAGUUGAGAGUUAGGAUUUGUUGUGGAGAGCAGCUAAGUCUACCUAGUUGGCUAGUUUACAUAUUAGGUGGACAAAAUUAAGGAAGAGGAGAAAACUGCCUGGGAGUGGUUAUGUGCUAAACUAGCUGAGCAAUGGUCGAAGUCCCAUUUCUUGACGGCUUCCAAAUGUGACAUUUUGUUAAACAAUCUCUACAAAUGCUUUAACAACUACGUAAAGGAAACGAGGGGAAAGGAUAUUUUGACUCUCCUUCACUUAAUUCAAAACAAGGUAAUGGCACGGAUGCACAAAUGCUGCGAUUUGAUCGCAAGGAGUUUUAGCGAUAUAUGUCCAAAAAUUUAUUAAAAAAAAAAAAUGAAAGUAGUACACGUGAUUCUUUUUUGUGGAAAGCAAUAUUCAAUGGGAAAAUGCAAUCAAGUUUUUGGAUCGUAUUCUGACAGUCAAUUUUUGGUAGAUUUACAAAGGAGGACAUGCUCAUGUAGCAAGUAGAAUCUAAUUGGUGUGCCUUGUCCACAUGCAAUAGCCGGCAUCCAUGAGUGGGGUAAGGAUCCUUUGCAGUUCGUGGAUGAGAGCUACAAAGUUGAAACUUACUUAAAAGCUUACGAAAAUUGCAUAUGCCCUAUGAAUGGACAAAAAAUGUGGCCGUCGAGUGGCUUCGAUUCAGUGAAACCCCCAACUUGGGUGACCAAAAAAAGAGGUAGGAAGCAGACAAAGAGCCGAAGAGGAGUUGAGGAAGUUGUGUUGUCCAAAGAGAAGAUGAAGAAGAUUGAUAGGAGAGGUGAUGGCAAGAAGAGAUUGAAAUGUAGUGUUUACAGUCAAAAGGGGCAUAAUAAAAGAUACCACUCAAACCAUGCUUAGCAGGCAAGCUACACAACAAAUGAGGUAUACACUAAGUCAUAAUCAUAUAUGUAUAUCCUGUUUUUGUUUUAUUUAUUAUGUUGGCUGACAUCCUUUUUCAUAAAUUGUAGGAGGACAUAAAUGGUUCGAGGACAUGGGAAGCUACAAGAGCUAAUGUUGGACAGCCUAUUCACAAUCGACUACUACUAUUGGAAUUGAACAAGGUAGAGUGCGGCAUUUUCUUUCCCGGCCUACUAAGAAUGCUAGACAAAAAGGUUUGGUUGUUCAAUGUCUUCGUACCUAAACCAAGAACCAAUUUCAAUAAAAAGGGAUCUCUACCUCAGUGAAGGCCAAGAGCCAGUGGAAGUUCGAACUCAAUUGCAACUCUUAGUGAAGCAUGGAACAACUUGAUGACAAAAUAACGCUAGUUGAAUUCAAUUAUAUUUUUUUGUCAAUGAACUCUAUUUUGAUUGUGACUAUCUAGUUUUUGUCAUUGUAAGUUUUUUGGUGAAAUGUGGAAGAUUGUAAGUCGUUGUAUGUGAUAAGUGAUAUUUCACUCAUAAUAUCAAUGCCAUAAUUUUUACGAGUUUUUGCCAUCUUAACAUGUGGUUUUAGUGUUAUGUGUUAGGUGUUGAAGUACGGAAAAGAAUGAACAAAGGAAGCCAAGUUAAUGAAGAAGAAGAAGAAAAUGAGGAAACGAGACACGCCCAGUCAAAACAGCAGAGAAAGUAGAGUACUAGGCGUCCCAAAGCAAAAAAAAAUAGUAGAAAUGCUGGCACUGCAACGCCAGCAAAUGGAUUCAUCUCGGCACUAGUGAUGGGCGCCGUGGCACCGUCGUGUGGCUGUAGGGUUUUUAAGGUUUGAAAUGUGUACUUGAAGUCCUCAAGUUUUUAUGUUCAUGUGUUUUGGUCCUUUAAGUUUUAAUUAAAAUCAUAACGAUCCUAAUGGUGAUCGUUUCUGCAAGUUUGUAAACAUCAGUGACCAUUAGGGAAAGCGCUCGUAAGUUAGGUGUUCGUUUCUACAAGUUUGUAACUUCAAUGACCAUUUUGUAAUUUUUAGGUAAGUUCAGUG